rnacentral:tRNA from 1 species
GCGGGUGUAGCUCAAUGGUAGAGCAACUGCCUUCCAAGCAGAAUACGAGGGUUCGAUUCCCUUCACCCGCUCCA